rnacentral:rRNA from 1 species
GGGCCCGCACAAGCGGAGGAACAUGUGGUUUAAUUCGAUGAUACGCGAGGAACCUUACCCGGGCUCGAACGGCUCUAGAAUAUAUCAGAGAUGGUAUAGCCAGCGAUGGCUGGAGUCGAGGUGCUGCAUGGUUGUCGUCAGCUCGUGCCGUGAGGUGUAGGCUUAAGUGCCAUAACGAGCGCAACCCUUGUUGUUAGUUGCCAUCAGGUAAAGCUGGGGACUCUAGCGAGACUGCCACCGUAAGGUGCGAGGAAGGGGGGGAUGACGUCAAAUCAGCACGGCCCUUACGUCCGGGGCGACACACGUGUUACAAUGGUGGAUACAGAGGGGCGCUACCCAGUGAUGGGAUGCGAAUCUCUAAAGUCCAUCUCAGUUCGGAUUGGAGUCUGCAACUCGACUCCAUGAAGUUGGAUUCGCUAGUAAUCGCGCAUCAGCCAUGGCGCGGUGAAUACGUUCCCGGGCCUU